UGUUUUGGAAGAGAAGCAUUUAUUACAUAAAAAGCCAAUAUAUGUUUUUAAAGCAUAAAAGUUGGUGAUUUACAAUAACUAAGCAAAUCGCACAGUGCAAACUGGCGAUAAAUCAUUCAAGUUUCUGACCUAUCAGCUUUCGACGGUAUGGUAUUGGCUUACCGUGGCAGUGACGGUUAACGGGGGAUUAGGGUUCGAUUCCGGAGAGGGAGCCUGAGAAACGGCUACCACAUCUAAGGAAGGCAGCAGGCGCGCAAAUUACCCAAUUCUAACAGCAUAAGAGAGGUAGUGACAAGAAAUAACAGUACAAGGCAGUUAAAAUGCUUUGUAAUUGGAAUGAUAGAAAUUUAAAUACUUUUUAAAGUAUCAAUUGGAGGGCAAGUCUGGUGCCAGCAGCCGCGGUAAUUCCAGCUCCAAUAGCGUAUAUUAAAAUUGUUGCAGUUAAAAAGCUCGUAGUUGAAUUUUUGCUAAAAAUAACCGGUCUGCUUUUAUUAAUAAAAGUGGUAUCUUGGUGUGUUUUUAGCAAUAAUGUCCUUUGAAAUGUUUUUUACUUUAUUGUAAAAAACAAAUUUCAGGAUUUUUACUUUGAGAAAAUUAGAGUGUUUCAAGCAGGCUAACGUUUUGAAUA
rnacentral:rRNA from 1 species